CUUACAAUCCUAUAACCAUGUGGUUUACUCAACUCCAAAGCUCUUAGAGAAACUUUGCAUGCAGUAUGAUCUUUUGUGUGUCUUGUGUGUUCAAAUAAAAGGAUGAGUUUUAUAGGGGCAGUAGUAGUUUGUUUGUCACGGAUACAAAGGGAGCAGGAAAUAUGUUUUAGUGGCAUGCCCAGAAUGCCUGUGCUUUAAUACUAGCAGCGUGGCAUCAGGCAAGGAAAUUCAGCUCCAUAACCCUCAGUUGGUUCAACAAUAAAAAGGGGUAAUUAAGGCAUAUAUGUGAUGCCAGUUGUUUUAAUCCUAGGACUUCAUCACUUAGUGGCUGUGGCUUUGGACAAAUUACAUUCUCUUCUUGGACUCAUUGUUCUCAAAAAGUUAUUGUUAUAAUUAAUUAAAAUAAGGUAAAUAAAGCCCCUAAUGCCGUGGCCAGCAAACCAGGGCUCUCAGGCCAAAUCCAUCCUGGUAGGGUAUAUAAUUCUUUAUUCUCAUAUAUAUUUUUUCAACACAUAUUUACUGAAUACUUACUAGGCUUCAGGAACCAUUCUAAGGAUUGGGUAGAUAGCAAUGAAUAAAACAUUGAGCGUCCUUUCAUGAAAAUUAUGUUGUCAUAGAGAUGUAGCCAUAAAUAAAUAAAUAAAUAAGCAUUGUGAGCUCUGAUAUAUACUAUGCAGAAAAAUAAACAGGUACAGGAUAGAACAAACAUAAUGGGAGGUUACCUGUUUUAGAAAGGGGAAUCAGGAAAGAAUUCUUAAUUAAAUGACAUUUUAACUGAUACCUAAAACAGUAAAUGUGGCAUCCAU
rnacentral:lncRNA from 10 species